rnacentral:rRNA from 1 species
CGCCUACACAUGCAAGUCGGACGGAUGGUUCGUUUCGGUGGGCCAUCAGUGGCGGACGGGUGAGUAACGCGUGGGAACCUGCCCCGGGGUGGGGGAUAGCCGAGGGAAACUUCGGGUAAGACCGCAUGUCUCCGCGAGGAGAAAGACUUCGGUCGCCCUGGGAUGGGCCCGCGUCGGAUUAGCUAGACGGUGAGGUAACGGCUCACCGUGGCUUCGAUCCGUAGCUGGUCUGAGAGGAUGAUCAGCCACACUGGGACUGAGACACGGCCCAGACUCCUACGGGAGGCAGCAGUGGGGAAUCUUGGACAAUGGGGGCAACCCUGAUCCAGCGACGCCGCGUGGGUGACGAAGGCCUUCGGGUUGUAAAGCCCUUUUGCCGGGGACGAUGAUGACGGUACCCGGAGAAUAAGCACCGGCUAACUCUGUGCCAGCAGCCGCGGUAAGACAGAGGGUGCUAGCGUUGUUCGGAAUCACUGGGCGUAAAGGGCGCGUAGGCGGCCUGGUCAGUCGGGUGUGAGAGCCCGGGGCUCAACCCCGGAACGGCAUUCGAUACGGCCAGGCCGGAGUCCGGGAGAGGAAGGUGGAAUACCCAGUGUAGAGGUGAAAUUCGUAGAUAUUGGGUGGAACACCAGUGGCGAAGGCGGCCUUCUGGUCCGGAACUGACGCUGAGGCGCGAAAGCGUGGGGAGCAAACAGGAUUAGAUACCCUGGUAGUCCACGCCCUAAACGAUGCGUGCUAGAUGUCGGGGAGCUUGCUCCUCGGUGUCGGAGCCAACGUUUUAAGCACGCCGCCUGGGGAGUACGGCCGCAAGGUUAAAACUCAAAGGAAUUGACGGGGG